rnacentral:rRNA from 1 species
CGGGGGGGGGCAAGCGUUGUUCGGAAUUACUGGGCGUAAAGGGCGCGCAGGCGGCCCGGCCAGUCCUACGUGAAAUCCCACAGCUCAACUGUGGAACUGCGUGGGAUACUGCCAGGCUUGAGUCCGGGAGAGGAGAGUGGAAUUCCCAGUGUAGCGGUGAAAUGCGUAGAUAUUGGGAGGAACACCGGUGGCGAAGGCGGCUCUCUGGACCGGCACUGACGCUGAGGCGCGAAAGCUAGGGGAGCAAACGGGAUUAGAUACCCCGGUAGUCCUAGCCCUAAACGAUGAGCACUUUGUGUGGCGGGUAUCGACCCCUGCCGUGCAGAAGCUAACGCAUUAAGUGCUCCGCCUGGGGAGUACGGUCGCAAGGCUG